rnacentral:tRNA from 2 species
GUCGGGGUGGCUCAGCCCGGUGGAGCGUCGGACUCAUAAUCCGGAGGUCGCGGGUUCGAACCCCGCCCCCGACACCA